rnacentral:sRNA from 1 species
AGAUUAUAAAAAGAAAACAAUAGACAUUUUUAGUUAGAGAGAGUCUAGAUAGAGACAUUUGAAUACUCUCUCUCUUGUAUGGUUCUUCCCGUGUCAACUUUUUAUUUGUUUUUAAAUUUUAAAUAAUUAAACUAAA